rnacentral:rRNA from 1 species
AACGAACGCUGGCGGCAGGCUUCAUACAUGCAAGUCGAACGGUUAAAGCUCCUUCGGGAGUGUAUAAAGUGGCGAACGGGUGAGUAACAGGUGGAUAACCUACCUUCUUGUGGGGGAUAACGGUUGGAAACGACCGCUAAUACCGCAUACGAUUGUCUUUUUUACGAAUUGGACAAGGAAAGGGGCUUUUGCUCCGCUGGAAGAUGGGUCCGCCCCCCAUUAGCUUGUUGGUGUGAUAAAAGCGCACCAAGGCAACGAUGGGUAGCCGGACUGAGAGGUUGGCCGGCCACACUGGAACUGAGACACGGUCCAGACACCUACGGGUGGCAGCAGUAGGGAAUAUUGCGCAAUGAACGAAAGUUUGACGCAGCCAUGCCGCGUGGAUGAUGAAGGCCUUCGGGUCGUAAAGUCCUUUUAUUGGGGAAGAACAAGCACGGGAAGAAAAAGCCCGUGCCCUGACGGUACCCAAUGAAUAAGCAACGCUAACU